rnacentral:tRNA from 1 species
GGGCAUAGCUCAGUGGUAGAGUGCAUGUUUAGCAUGUAUGGGGCCCUGGGUUCAACUCCAAGCAGCACA